AGCAGACAUGGACCCGACCUUGGGACACCUAUCAAAGUGACCAUUGACCCAGUGCGCAUGGUUCUGAGCACCUGGGCGAGCCCGCUCUCUAGAACAACUACCAGCGGCCAUGCAGGGGUGUUGUCCGACUCCUACAUCAGGCACCACUACAUUCUCCUGGCGUUCCUGAAGGUGCCCAUCUUGCUCGCAUUGGUCGGUGCUGUCCUUUGG